ensembl:sRNA
CGGUUAUAAUAACACUCAACGAUUUAAUUUAUUUUAAUAUUAUCUCGUUAUUUUUUAUUUAACCAAUAUAAAAGUUAGUUUACUAACUGACCUUUACAUAUUCCCGGUUAAUUCAACGCCAGUAGGCACCUUCUUGUUAAGGAAUGUUGUUUUAGCUGUAACAUAAAAAGUAAAGGAACAAACCAAAUAAAAAAAAAAAAAAAAAGGGAAAAAAAAAAAA